CUCCUACGGGAGGCAGCAGUGGGGAAUAGUUGCGCAAUGGGCGAAAGCCUGACGCAGCGACGCCGCGUGGAGGAUGAAGGCCUUAGGGUCGUAAACUUCUGUUAAGUGAGAAAAAAGACUACAUCAGUAAUAUGGAUGAGGGAUGAUAGUACCACUAGAGAAAGCACUGGCUAAUCUCGUGCCAGGCAGCCGCGGUAAUAC
rnacentral:rRNA from 1 species